rnacentral:lncRNA from 1 species
GUGAGCCACAGCUGAUAGCUGGGCGCGAUCUGCCUGGAUUGUUACUGAAAUACUAACAUGCUCUUUAUGGGUUAGUAACUCCCUUCACCUCCCCAACGGCUCCUACCCGCUGGGACCUUCACCUCCCCAUGAUCCAACAGUGAAAGAUUUAAUACCCACAUGACAAGGGCCUUCCAGACAUGGUCCAGCUGGGGUCUGAUGCUGAUUUGGAUAGAUCCAUGGCAAACUGAUGAAGAAAUUUUGGUCAGAGAGAUGAAGUAGCUCUGCCAGUACACAGCAUGGAAUUGAAAGCAAUGGGCCUGGCACUGACUGAGAGGUACUCACAGCUUGGGGCAGACUCCCAUUUGGAGAUGGGAUCCUGAAGAAGCCUGGAUGUUUGUGAUGGCGGUCAACAGAGCUUCCAGAAUGGGGACCUAGAUGCAGUCGUCUUCAAGUUCCAUAGGAGGGCUGUGGCUGACCUUGUCUCGUCUGAUAAACCACUGAAGAAGAAUGCUGUGUAUCUAUCUAGUGGGGCCUUCUAGGGAACUACGGGGGGCAAGGGCAAGUUCAUUGGCCUGUCAUUACUGUUUCCUAAUCUAGGGAGCCUCUCAGAAAAGACUCCCCUGAAGCGAUUGGUCUUCUCUGGCUCGGGCCAGGGGCUGAGGAGUGACGCUGGGUGGAGGCAACACCCAGGGAGAUAGGAAGCCUGUUCUGUGGGGCUUAUCUCAGGACUGUGAGGCAACUGAAGACAGAAGCCAUGAGAGGAGAAGUUUGGUAAUCUCAUCUGCAAUUGUUGUUUUUGUACUUAUCUAAGGAUGGGGGUGGGGAUGGAAGGGUGGGAAUGGGUUUGAGUUGCAGCCAAAGGAAUUUAGAUUAGACACCUGAAAGAACUUUCCAACAUACAACGCUGUAAGGCCAAAAGGAGAUAGUACAGUUGCCUUUUAUCUGGAUCCAUAGUAUAAUACUUAAGUUUAGGUGUUCAAUAAGUACUGAACACACAAGACUGGGAGUCUGGAGAGUUGGGCCAAAAGCUCUUAUUUGUCCUUCAUUCCCACUGGGGACAUUUCUCCUCUUUAUUUCACUCUCUGAGCCUCUGUGUCCUUGUCAGCCUUGUAGGGCUGCGAUGAGAAUUAAAUGAGACAAUAUGUGAAUGUGACCAGUCCAGUCAAUGCCUAGCACAUAGUACAUGCUUAAGAAAUACCUAUGUCAUCUGGAUUCUGGAAAUCCUGUACACCAUGGUAGUCCAAUAAAAAUAUACCCAAUGAAUCAUUAACAUGAUUUAAUUUAUAAGGGGCACAAAAGGUUCAUUAAUGUUAGUUAACAGUAGGUUUUGGAGUCAGAUAGACCUGGGCCUUAUUUACAGCUGCAUUUGGGGUUGGGAGUGGAAUAGAGAGGAAGAAGAGGAAAUGGAUGGGAAGAGUUGAUGAAAAGUCAGGAGAACCCAGCCCACUGAUAGGAGAGGUUUGGGAGAAAGAAAUAGCUACAGAAGGGUAUGUGUUCAAAUUUUGCUCUUUGCAAAGAACAUGCUGGUUACUAAGAGAGAUCAGAGCAGGUACAAGGAGUUCAGUGUGGAGACUCUGGCAGUGGUCCAGGUGUGAUGUCUAAAGCAAGGGACUGUGGUCAAGGGUGAGCUCAAGGUGAGUGGGUCUUAGCUGCCUUAGCUCCUUGUGGAGGGCAAGUGAAGAAGGUAUUGGCAAGAACAUUAGAAAUUGUUCUAGGUGCUCUCCUACAAUGUUAUGACCAGGAUGCACUCUGCACUCCUUUUGAUGAGGAGUUUGGUAUCACAUCCAAGGCCUUACCUGUCUCCGUUCUCUUUGAUCUAGUAAUUUCACUGGAAGCCAGUUCAAGGAGAUUAUCUAAACUGUGGAGAAAGGUUUUUUGUCAGUCAAGGGCUCUUUAUUAAGCACUUACUAUGUGCCAGGCUCUGAGGGUACAUCGGGGAGUGUUAGAGAAACACAAGUGGGAGAGAUUUUGAAGGGCUGCUGAGAUCAUUCAUGUAGUCAGGCAAUCAAAAAAUAUUUACUGAGCACCUGUUAUGUGUCUGCCAUCAUUCAAGGCUCUGGGUUUUCAACAAGGACCAAGACAGAUGAGGAUUUCAGAACCGUGGACAAGUGAGGGUUAGCAGGUCAGCAAAGUCAGAAUGUUUAUGCCAAUGCAGCAGGCUUCUCUGAUCCCCCAAAUUACGCUCGGUCCUUCUCAUAUAUGCUCUUUCCCACCCCCAUAUUCACACAGAUGAGGACCUCAACUUCUUUUCUCGAUUUCCAUUAAAAGCCUUUACUCAAGGUUAUUGUAUGCGUAGCAAAUUUUAUGAAAGGUUUAUGGAUAUGGAGGGAGUUACAUGAUGAGAAUGCAAAUACAUUGAUUUUGAGUUGGUUAAAUGUCAUUGUUUUCAAGAUUCUCCAACUGCCCAACAAGUAGCUUGGCUGCCAUCUUCCCCUGACUUUCUGCAUCUCUGCUUCCUUCCCAAACCGUCUUCCUCAGUGGCAGUGGGGUUCCAGUCAUUUGCAGUUGUAAAUAGUAUUUCCCCCUUGGUCACACUUUAAUCACUUGUCCGAAGUCUAUUAUUUCAGCUACAUUGUAAGCUCCUUGAAGCACCUAGAUCAGGGCCUCGCUCAUAAUAGGCAUUUCAAAAAUAGUUAUUCAGUGAAUAAAUGAACAGAUGAAUGAGACAUCCUUCAGAUCCCUAUAAGAAAAUUGUACUACCUGCAUCUUUGCAAGAAAAAAAGUGAGUUAAUUUUUUUCAGUAUGAUGACACAUUGGAUUCUGAAUUACAGAAUUAAAUCUAAAUAUCUGAAUU